CGGGGUAUGGUGAAAUUGGUAAACGCAGUAGACUUAAAAUCUACCGACUGUAACAGUCUUGUCGGUUCGAAUCCGACUACCCCGACCA
rnacentral:tRNA from 1 species